UAGCCGGACUGAGAGGUUGAACGGCCACAUUGGAACUGAGAUACGGUCCAGACUCCUACGGGAGGCAGCAGAGGGGAAUAUGGGGCAAUGGGCGAAAGCCUGACCCAGCGACGCCGCGUGAAGGAAGAAGGUCUUCGGAUUGUAAACUUCUUUUAUUGGGGACGAUAAUGACGGUACCCAAUGAAUAAGCCACGGCUAACUACGUGCCAGCAGCCGCGGUAAUACGUAGGGUGCAAGCGUUAUCCGGAAUUAUUGGGCGUAAAGGGCUCGUAGGCGGUUCGUCGCGUCCGGUGUGAAAGUCCAUCGCUUAACGGUGGAUCCGCGCCGGGUACGGGCGGGCUUGAGUGCGGUAGGGGAGACUGGAAUUCCCGGUGUAACGGUGGAAUGUGUAGAUAUCGGGAAGAACACCAAUGGCGAAGGCAGGUCUCUGGGCCGUCACUGACGCUGAGGAGCGAAAGCGUGGGGAGCGAACAGGAUUAGAUACCCUGGUAGUCCACGCCGUAAACGGUGGAUGCUGGAUGUGGGGACCAUUCCACGGUCUCCGUGUCGGAGCCAACGCGUUAAGCAUCCCGCCUGGGGAGUACGGCCGCAAGGCUAAAACUCAAAGAAAUUGACGGGGGCCCGCACAAGCGGCGGAGCAUGCGGAUUAAUUCGAUGCAACGCGAAGAACCUUACCUGGGCUUGACAUGUUCCCGACAGCCCCAGAGAUGGGGCCUCCCUUCGGGGCGGGUUCACAGGUGGUGCAUGGUCGUCGUCAGCUCGUGUCGUGAGAUGUUGGGUUAAGUCCCGCAACGAGCGCAACCCUCGCCCUGUGUUGCCAGCACGUCGUGGUGGGAACUCACGGGGGACCGCCGGGGUCAACUCGGAGGAAGGUGGGGAUGACGUCAGAUCAUCAUGCCCCUUACGUCCAGGGCUUCACGCAUGCUACAAUGGCCGGUACAACGGGAUGCGACCUCGUGAGGGGGAGCGGAUCCCUUAAAACCGGUCUCAGUUCGGAUUGGAGUCUGCAACCCGACUCCAUGAAGGCGGAGUCGCUAGUAAUCGCGGAUCAGCAACGCCGCGGUGAAUGCGUUCCCGGGCCUUGUACACACCGCCCGUCAAGUCAUGAAAGUGGGUAGCACCCGAAGCCGGUGGCCCAACCUUUUGGGGGGAGCCGUCUAAGGUGAGACUCGUGAUUGGGACUAAGUCGUAACAAGGUAGCCGUACCGGAAGGUGCGGCUG
rnacentral:rRNA from 1 species